UUUCGCCUACGGGGGGCAGCAGUGGGAAAUAUUGCACAAUGGGGGAAACCCUGAUGCAGCAACGCCGCGUGAGUGAAGAAGUAUUUCGGUAUGUAAAGCUCUAUCAGCAGGGAAGAAGAUGACGGUACCUGAGUAAGAAGCCCCGGCUAACUACGUGCCAGCAGCCGCGGUAAUACGUAGGGGGCAAGCGUUAUCCGGAUUUACUGGGUGUAAAGGGAGCGUAGACGGCUGCGCAAGUCUGAAGUGAAAGCCCGGGGCCCAACCCCGGGACUGCUUUGGAAACUGUGUAGCUAGAGUGCUGGAGG
rnacentral:rRNA from 1 species